GUCCGUCAAUUUCUCUGGCUCACUGCUCAUGGUCGUCUCAUGACGCAGGAGUAUCGGCUGAGAUGUCAUCUCACAAAUUCCGCCCUCCGUCGUCGUUGAAAUGCGGCUAGCGAAACGGUCAUUCAUGUACUGCGCAACUGCCCCUCUACAAAAGCUGCUUGCAUGAGAUUGCUUGCUCAAUCCCAGGUUUUGGCUUUCUUUACUUUACCUCUGCGGGAGUAGCUCUUAACUUAUCUUCGACCAGAUCAUCGUGUCACUAACUCUAUCAGCUGGUCAAGAAUUUUCGGGGUCGGUUGCUGGCUAUUGUGGAAUUGACGGAACAAGGAACUAUUUCAAGAUGACUUCCAUUACCCGAUAGACGAAGGUUCGCAUAUUAUGGAUAUUGAUUGGGGAUUCCAUUCGGCAAAGUGUUGUGCAUCUCGGGCUGAUCCCAUUAGGGCGAGGUCAUGGCACCUUAUCAACUGGGAUGAUCAGGGCAACCGGUUCGGUGGCUUCAUGCAUAACAUUGGUUUUUCAUCCUCGGUAACGACAGAAUUGUGGGGAGUUCUCUUGGGACUCCAUCUCGCCUGGUCUCUGGUUUGCAGAAGAGUUAUUGUUGAGUUAGACUCUCUGUUAGUCCGGAAUUGGCUCGUUAGAGUGUCUUCCUGUGGGCCAUUUCAUUAUCUGCUAGUACAUGAGAUCGAGGGGCCACUACAAAAAGAUUCGGACGUCCAGAUUCAUAAUGUGUAUCGCGAUGGAAACUUUUGUGCGGAUUGGCUUACCCAAUGUGCCAUUCUUCGCCCUAUCGGCCUCCAUGUCCUUAAUUCCAUUCCUAAUGGUUUAGGUUCACUGCGGUUAGAAUAUAUUGUAGGGGUUAUCACGGCCCGUCUUUAUCCUUCUUAGUCUUUUAGGGCGUUAAUCCCGCUUUCCUACAAAAAAAAAGAAAAAGAAAAAGAAAAGAGAAAUGAAUUGAAGUCAUACAAUACAUAGUAAGUCUUAAAACGGUGUCUGUAAAUGGCUCCUUAGCUGGUUACUUCUCCCGUGGCAAAGGGGUAAGACGAAGUGAUCCGUCCCCUCUCCUUAUCUUUUUGUUCUUGCUAUGAAGUGUUUUAUCUUAUCUUUUGAUGCUGCUGUCUUGAAGUGUUUGGGUAUCAUCCGAGGUGCAAAAGGCUGAAGAAUACUCGUUUGUGCUUCACAGAUGAACUCUUUAUACUCUCGAAUGGUUCCUGCAACCCUAUACAUGAAAUUUUGAGAAUUUUGGAAAAAUUUCAUGAACUUCCAGAGCUUCGAUUGAAUCCAGAAAAAAUGAAGAUAUAUUGUGGAGGUGUUCAACUUACAUCAGGGAAGCGUUCCUCUCAGGAUUGCUCAGCAAGGACCGAUAAAAUCACGCAAAGAAUAAAGAGCUGGACUGCCAAGCAUCUCAAGACAUGAAGGAAGAGCAAAGGUGAAGUAGAGCAUUGUUUGCUUGCCCAAGCAUGGAAGCGGGCUGGGGAUUACGGACCUAGAAAGCUGGAAGAAAAUAUGGUUGUUAUUAAUGAAUGUAGGUUCUUUGUGGGUUGCUUGGUUGCAUGCCUAUUUGAUCAAGGGAAGAUGCUUUUGGGCUGUCGAAAUCCAAAGGGAUUACUCUUCAAGUCAGGCCCGUUGCUGAUUCAUUCAUGGUAAACAAGCUCAAUACAAAGAAUUGAAGUUAAUGCAGUUAUUUGGAAAGGCGAGAAGGCUGAGGCUUACAACGGGGAGCACCCAUUUUUGAGGGACCUACUUUGGUGUCACAUAAUCAAGAAUGGAGACCCAAAAUAAAUGGAGAUUCACUCCACGAUGAUUCUAAUUGGAGCUUGCCACAGCCGGGCCAGUCCUUGAUACCAAGGACCAUCCGGGCUCAUUUCCCCUCCUCACAAUCAGGAAAAAAAUGGGGACGUCUCGACUGCUUAUGUGGCAGCAGUCGGGAUGCCCAUUGUAGAUGGUCUUAAAAGUUUAUUUGUAAUAUCCCGAACUUUUCAAUAAAAACAUAUAAAUACAAUCAGUAACAUUUUUGAUACUACUUACACCAA